UACGGAGGAUGCGAGCGUUAUCCGGAUUUAUUGGGUUUAAAGGGUGCGUAGGCGGCCGAGUAAGUCAGCGGUGAAAUUUUGCAGCUUAACUGUAACAGUGCCGUUGAUACUGCAUGGCUAGGAUUUGGUUGCUGUGGGUGGAAUGUGUGGUGUAGCGGUGAAAUGCUUAGAUAUCACACAGAAUAUCGAUUGCGAAGGCAGCUCACAAAGCCAAGAUUGACGCUGAGGCACGAAAGUGUGGGGAUCGAA
rnacentral:rRNA from 1 species